rnacentral:rRNA from 1 species
AUGAACGCUAGCGACAGGCUAACACAUGCAAGUCGAGGGGUAACAGGGUAGCAAUACCGCUGACGACCGGCGCACAGGUGAGUAACGCGUAUGCAACCUGCCUAUAACUGGGGAAUAGCUCCCUGAAAGGGGGAAUUAACACCGCAUAACACUAUUGAUUCGCAUGGAUUAGUAGUUAAAUGUAGCGAUACAGGUUAUAGAUGGGCAUGCGUGACAUUAGCUAGUUGGUGAGGUAACGGCUCACCAAGGCUACGAUGUCUAGGGGUUCUGAGAGGAAGGUCCCCCACACUGGUACUGAGACACGGACCAGACUCCUACGGGAGGCAGCAGUGAGGAAUAUUGGUCAAUGGGCGCAAGCCUGAACCAGCCAUGUCGCGUGCAGGAAGACUGCCCUAUGGGUUGUAAACUGCUUUUAUAGUAGAAGAAACACAUCUACGUGUAGAUGUCUGCCAGUAUACUAUGAAUAAGCAUCGGCUAACUCCGUGCCAGCAGCCGC